CAGGUUUACAAUAUGCCUGGGUCAUCUUCAUCUUCAUUAAGUAUCAGAGAACCCUGUUUCUGUAGGCAUAUGAAAAAAGCAGAUGAGAUAAUUCUGUCUAUUCCUUCUGAUGCUGCUUGCAAGCUGUGGGGUGUUGAUAUGGGCCCUACAAAUGUGGACAUACAUACUGAUGAUGGCCGCAUUUUUAAUGUUUGUUUAACCUACU